AUUGAACGCUGGCGGGAUGCCUAACACAUGCAAGUCGAACGGAGAGGCGGACGGGUGAGUAAUAUAUCGGAACGUGCCUAAUAGCGGGGGAUAACUACUCGAACGGGUGGCUAAUACUGCAUACUAUUGGAGCGGCCGAUAUGGGAUUAGCUAGUGGGGGGGGUAACGGCUUACCAAGGCGACGAUCCGUAGCUGGUCUGAGAGGAAGAGCAGCCACACUGGGACUGAGACACGGACCAGACUCCUACGGGAGGCAGCAGUGGGGAAGUUUGGACAAUGGGGGAAAGCCUGAUCCAGCCAUGCCGCGUGUAUGAUGAAGGCCUUCGGGUUGUAAAGUACUUUUGGCAGAGAAGCGGUAUCUGCAGAAUAAGCACCGGCUAACUACGUGCCAGCAGCCGCGGUAAUUC
rnacentral:rRNA from 1 species